rnacentral:rRNA from 1 species
GAUGAACGCUGGCGGCGUGCCUAAUACAUGCAAGUCGAGCGAACGGACGAGAAGCUUGCUUCUCUGAUGUUAGCGGCGGACGGGUGAGUAGCACGUGGAUAACCUACCUAUAAGACUGGGAUAACUUCGGGAAACCGGAGCUAAUACCGGAUGAUAUUUUGAACCGCAUGGUUCAAAAGUGAAAGACGGCCUUGCUGUCACUUUUAGAUGGAUCCGCGUUGCAUUAGCUAGUUGGUAAGGUAACGGCUUACCAAGGCAACGAUGCAUAGCCGACCUGAGAGGGUGAUCGGCCACACUGGAACUGAGACACGGUCCAGACUCCUACGGGAGGCAGCAGUAGGGAAUCUUCCGCAAUGGGCGAAAGCCUGACGGAGCAACGCCGCGUGAGUGAUGAAGGUCUUCGGAUCGUAAAACUCUGUUAUUAGGGAAGAACAUAUGUGUAAGUAACUGUGCACAUCUUGACGGUACCUAAUCAGAAAGCCACGGCUAACUACGUG